GUUUUACAAUAACCCGGCCGGUCCGACGGGGUCUCAUCCAGGCGGUGGGGCAGAGAGAGACAAGAGAGACACAGGACCCCGGUGAAGGGUCCCCAGGCUUGUCGGGGAAAAGACUGGACACAGGGACUAGAGGACGAGAUGGAACAAUGCUAAUAGCAUCUACAAACUUAGUGAAGUGUUACUGGUCCUUACUUCAGAGUAGAGAAUGUCGUGAAGACAAGAGGACCCACCUAGUUCUGCACAUCCUGCCAUGAAGAGCAGAGCGAGAAGCUUUUUUGUUGGCUGCCACCGUCUCUCUUGGAAUCUGAAUUUAACUUCGGGAGCUUACCUGUCGUUACAACACUAAAUUUCCCUCUUGUAAGACCUUGGACAAGUCCUCUAAUGCCUUGAUGCCUCAGAUUUUUUUCAGUUCUCCCUGAAGAUAAGAAUAGUAUCCACCUCAUAGCGGUGGUGUGGGAACUCCAUGAGACGACGCACGUGAAGCCCCUCACACAGUCUCUGGGGCCACCGCAGACAGCGAACAGGACAGGAGGACUCCCGGUGAUUUAUUAAGAAGGUGAAAUUAUGUGCCCAGUUGGGAACUCUGGGGAGCUCUCGCUGAAAUUAACUUGAGCGUUUUGGAGCCAGAUUUACACGGCAGAAUGGACCUGGGACUGCUCCUUUUGGCAGAAUCUGCUGGGCCACUGUGGAUGAUCUUUCCCAUGUUGCACAAUGUCCCCAAAGCCCUUGGAGCCAUGCUCAGCCCCAUCCUGGCAUCCCCUGUGUCCCUCGUGCCUCUGCCAUGGAGGUCCAGCCACUUGACUUGGCUGUGGGUCUCAUCAACUUGCAGAAAGAACGUGUGCGCAAAUAGAAAACAGAAAAUGUAGAAAUGUUUGAAGACAAAAGAACCACCAAGACAAAUAAACCAAACCCAGGGUCAUUAGCAAUUCCUCAUUGCCAAGAUAAAAUGUGAACAUUUUAGUU